UAGCAGAUGUGUGCAGUGACUCAGAAAUUUCUACUGAAUUCUCUGAGGAGCAUACCAAAUCACUUGCAAUGGCGUAUCCAGUAAAAGUUACCAAGGAAGACAUAAAAAACACGAGCUUUGGGGAGCCGUACUGAAGUAUGCUUAUAGGCUUCAGAGCAAAAAAGAUGAAGAUGAGGCACACGAUUAUUUUAAGGAGGAACUAUCACCAGGAUGUGGAUUUUAUCUGCCAAAAACAAGAAAAUUAUAUAUUGAGCAUGUGUCGGAGAGUGCUAUAGGACACG